rnacentral:rRNA from 1 species
GAUGAACGCUGGCGGCGUGCCUAAUACAUGCAAGUCGAGCGAACGGACGAGAAGCUUGCUUCUCUGAUGUUAGCGGCGGACGGGUGAGUAACACGUGGAUAACCUACCUAUAAGACUGGGAUAACUUCGGGAAACCGGAGCUAAUACCGGAUAAUAUUUUGAACCGCAUGGUUCAAAAGUGAAAGACGGUCUUGCUGUCACUUAUCGAUGGAUCCGCGCUGCAUUAGCUAGUUGGUAAGGUAACGGCUUACCAAGGCAACGAUGCAUAGCCGACCUGAGAGGGUGAUCGGCCACACUGGAAGUGAGACACGGUCCUGACUCCUACGGGAGGCAGCAGUAGGGAAUCUGCCGCAGAGGGCGAAAGCCUGACGGAGCAACGCCGCGUGAGUGAUGAAGGUCUUCGGAUCGUAAAACUCUGUUAUUAGGGAAGAACAUAUGUGUAAGUAACUGUGAACAUCUUGACGGUACCUAAUCAGAAAGCCACGGCUAACUACGUG